rnacentral:rRNA from 1 species
AUACGUAGGGCGCAAGCGUUGUCCGGAAUUACUGGGCGUAAAGGGCGCGUAGGUGGACAUUUAAGUCAGAUGUGAAAACUCUGGGCUCAACUUGGAGAUUGCAUUUGAAACUGGACGUCUUGAGGGUAGGAGAGGAAAGUGGAAUUCCUAGUGUAGCGGUGAAAUGCGUAGAUAUUAGGAGGAACACCAGUGGCGAAGGCGCGUUUCUGGACUAUACCUGACAGUGAGGCGCGAAAGAGGGGGGAGAGAACGGGAUUAUAUACCCGGGUGUUCCACGCCGUAAACGAUGGAUACUAGGUGUAGGGGGUAUCGACCCCUUCUGUGCCGCAGCUAACGCAAUAAGUAUCCCGCCUGGGGACUACGGUCGCAAGACUAAAACUCAAAUGAAUUGACGGGG